rnacentral:rRNA from 1 species
GACGAACGCUGGCGGCGUGCUUAACACAUGCAAGUCGAACGGAAAGGCCUUUUCGGUGGUCCUCGAGUGGCGCACGGGUGAGUAACACGUGGGUGAUCUGCCCUGCACUCUGGGACAAGCCUGGGAAACUGGGUCUAAUACCGGAUAGGACUGCUCUUUAGAGUGUGUGGGGGAAAGUUUUUUCGGUGUAGGAUGUGCCCGCGGCGUAUCAGCUUGUUGGGGGGGUGAUGGCCUACCAAGGCGGCGCCGGGUAGCCCGACUGUGAGACUGGGCGGCCACAGUGAGACUGAGGGACGGCCCAGGCUGCGACGGGAGGCAGCAGGGGGGAAGAUUGCAGAAGGGGCGCAAGCCUGAUGCAGAGGCGCCGCGGAGGGGAUGACGGCCUUCGGGUUGUAAACUCCUUUCGCCAGGGACGAAGCGUUUUGUGACGGUACCUGGAGAAGAAGCACCGGCUAACUACGUG